GUUAUUGGGAAGCCAGGACCAGGAGGGACAAGCCACUUCUCUGAGAGAUGUCUCCCUGCAGAUCCCCAACCAGGAGGGGCCAGUGGAUCCUGGGGCUUCUCCCUGAACUGCCUCGACAGUGCAAGGUCACACCUGUGCUAGGGCACAGACCCUAGCAGCUGUGGGGCCAGCCACACCCCUGCAGUGUCAGCUCAGCGUGGACCUGAGGACUCCUGCAGUCCUGGCCAGGGGGCCCACUUCCGUCAGGAGGCUCUGCUCUGCGGGGUUUUGUCCUCUGUCUCCGUCUGACAACAUGACUCGGCUCCCUGAAGUUUGAGCGUCAAUUGCUAAAGACAGAGAGACACUCAGCUCCCUCUGGGCAGUGAUGGCCUCCCUGAUGUGUUCUGCCCAGUCUGUUCCUGUCAAGGACAGCUUCUCAUCUGUCAGCCACAUCUAAAACCUCCUGCCGUCAGACCUGAGGACGGGUCCGUCCGGCAGAGCACUUAGAGACCUUACCUUUUAACCAUGGACGUAUCCUGAUGGGUCCCGGAUGAGGAGACUCUGGGUGGACUGCCACUGUGGGUGCUAGGAAAACGGACUCGUCAGGAACCUGCUUGUAGGACGCACCCGCGCGUGCGCACCCACUCGAAGAAGAGAGACGUGAGCAGUGAGGACAGCAACUGCUUAAUAUGGAAAAGGGGAUCCCAAUGAAUGCUUGGACAGAGACGUUGUGGGUGCUGCCAUUUCCAUAGUCAGCCUGACUGGAUUAGAUCACCUGGGCUCAUCUGUAAGGAUGUUUCCAGAAAGCAUUGGCUGAGGAGAGAAACCCCACCCUGAAUGUGGACAGCGCGAUCCUAACGGUGAAUAAGGAAACAAGAAAGUGAGUUGAGCGUCAGUCUUCAUCCUUUGCUUCAUCCUUUACUGACAGUGGUUGUGUUGAGACCAACGGACAAACGGGACAAACAGCCUCACAUUGCUGCUGCCACGCCUCCCCACAGUAGUGUAUGUCCGUCUGCCCACUGUGAGCCAAGGUAAACCCUGUCUUGAGUCGCUUUUGUCGGGUAUCUUGUCACAACCACAGUAACUAACACAGAUACGCGGUGAGACAUUGACAGAAGCAAUGGUGUGCUGAUGGGACUUGCUUCACGACAACGGGAGAGUGUGGCCAUGGCGGUGUUGGCAGCGGCCACCACUUUCAGGAUCUUUCCAUUAUGCUCUGCAUUUGUCUUUCCUUUUUGCUUUUUUGCUUUGUUUAGGUUUUCUCUGUGUAGCCCUAGUUGUCCUGGAACUCACCUGUUCCAGGCCGACCUCAAACUCAGACCCGCCUGCUUCUGCCUCCCGUGUGUUGGGAUUGAAAGUGCACGCCGCCACAGCUGGCUUCCCCCGGUGUUAAUUCUGUGUACGCUCGUGGGCAUGUGCUUGUGUCAGAUCUCUCUGCAGCUGAAGUUACAGGCAGUUGUGAGAGGCCCAUCCUGCGUGCUGGGAACUGAACUCAGGUCCUCUGCAAGAACAGGGCUUGCUUUUAAACACAAAGCCCCUCUCUCCAGCUCCAUUUCUGGUUUUGAAAUUCUCCAUUAAAAAAGUUUUGAAAACCUUAA